GGGAAGAAGCCCAGGUCUGAAAUCUCCCGGUUGGCAAUUGUUGCGGCCGGGCGAAUUGUGGUCUGGAGAGGCGGACUGUCCCGAUCCACUGCUUGCGAGCCCGAAGUUGACUUGGAACGGCACGCCUAAGAGGGUGAGAGCCCCGUAGGGCACAGAAAUCGGAAGCAGCGGGACGAGGGUCCGUACUCGUAGAGUCGGGUUGUUUGGGAAUGCAGCCCCAAGUGGGUGGUAGACUCCAUCCCAGGCUAAAUACGGGCGCGAGACCGAUAGCUGACAAGUACCGUGAGGGAAAGGUGAAAAGCACUUUGAAGAGAGAGUUCAAUAGACCGUGAAACCGUUGGGAGGGAAGCUCAGGGUGUCGAGGUUGUCGUGCUCCGUUGUAGGUUCAGCUGGCGGUAGUUGGGUUGCUAGCUGCUGCCGGUGCAAUCCUCAGCGGAGUUUGACCGUCAGUUGGGAAGAGAUUGGGUCCUGUUAAAUCGGUGGUCGGGAGGUAAGCCUUGCGGUUCACUUGUGGUUCCCGGGGUGACGUAUAGCCGCUCCACCGUGGUCUCGAUCGUCUUUCAGGUGCGUUUGGAUGUCUUUUCGUCCGGAAUGGGAAGGUGCAGACUCCUCGGAGUUCGGGCCAGUUGCGGAGUUGCUGUGCCGUGCUGAGAUCGUGUUCCGUGCCCUUUCCGUUACGUUUCGGCGUGCGGGGAGGUGUACGGCACGUCCGGUACGUGUCCUGGUCUCUCGUGGCUGCGUUCCAAGUUC
rnacentral:rRNA from 1 species